rnacentral:rRNA from 1 species
UACGUAGGUGGCUAGCGUUGUCCGGAUUUACUGGGCGUAAAGAGCGCGCAGGCGGUCGUGCAAGUCGGGUGUGAAAGCCCCCGGCUCAACUGGGGAGGGUCACGCGAUACUGCUCGACUCGAAGGCAGGAGAGGGAAGUGGAAUUCCCGGUGUAGUGGUGAAAUGCGUAGAUAUCGGGAGGAACACCAGUGGCGAAGGCGACUUCCUGGACUGUUCUUGACGCUGAGGCGCGAAAGCUAGGGGAGCAAACGGG